AUUGAACGCUGGCGGCAGGCCUAACACAUGCAAGUCGAGCGGAGCGGCGGACGGGUGAGGAAUGCCUAGGCAUCUGCCUGUUAGUGGGGGAGAACGUCCGGAAACGGGCGCUAAUACCGCAUACUAUCAGAUGAGCCUAGGUGGGAGUAGCUAUUUGGUGGGGUAAAGGCCUACCAGGUCGACGAUCCGUAACUGGUCUGAGAGGAUGAUCAGCAACACUGGAACUGAGACACGGUCCAGACUCCUACGGGAGGCAGCAGUGGGGAAUAUUGGACAAUGGGCGAAAGCCUGAUCCAGCCAUGCCGCGUGUGUGAAGAAGGUCUUCGGAUUGUAAAGCACUUUAAGUUGGGAGGCGUUACCAAAAGAAUAAGCACCGGCUAACUUCGUGCCAGCAGCCGCGGUAAUUC
rnacentral:rRNA from 1 species